AUGAGUGUGGUGGCACCAAGGCCUCGCUUUGCCCUUCUGCGAGGCACUGAGGACACGGCAGGCAGCAGGGACAGAUCCUGCCUGAGAGGAGGCGUGCCCAGAGGUGCCUCAGGGAUGGACCCGACCCGCACAGCAGCGGCCACAAGGGGUGCAGUCAGUAGUUGGUCUGAUGAGGGAUGCUUCACACGGGCUGUGAAGGCCAGCGGGACAAACAGCUUCCAGCCAAGGAGAUCUCAUCAUUCUGUACUGCAGUGGAUGACACAGCCUCGGGUGCUACAAAACAUCACAAAGCUGCAAAACCACUGGACUAAGACAGUGAAGUUUUCUGCUCAUAAGAGAGCCUCAGCCCCUGGAGCCAAGCUCAGGCCACAGCUGAGAAGUUCAGAAGCUCUGAAGAAUCACACAGAUUAA
rnacentral:lncRNA from 1 species